rnacentral:rRNA from 1 species
AGCGAACGCUGGCGGCAGGCCUAACACAUGCAAGUCGAACGGAUCCUUCGGGAUUAGUGGCGGACGGGUGCGUAACACGUGGGAACGUGCCCUUUGGUUCGGAACAACUCAGGGAAACUUGAGCUAAUACCGGAUGUGCCCUUCGGGGGAAAGAUUUAUCGCCAUUGGAGCGGCCCGCGUCUGAUUAGCUAGUUGGUGAGGUAACGGCCCACCAAGGCGACGAUCAGUAGCUGGUCUGAGAGGAUGAUCAGCCACACUGGGACUGAGACACGGCCCAGACUCCUACGGGAGGCAGCAGUGGGGAAUCUGGCGCAAUGGGCGAAAGCCUGACGCAGCCAUGCCGCGUGAAUGAUGAAGGUCUUAGGAUUGUAAAAUUCUUUCAGCGGGGACGAUAAUGACGGUACCCGCAGAAGAAGCCCCGGCUAACUUCGUG